rnacentral:hammerhead_ribozyme from 12 species
GUAGGGUAGCGGGGUGUGGCUCCCCGCCUGAUGAGGCUAUAGCAAGCCGAAACCCACU